CAAAUAAUCCCUCCGUCCGAAAUUACUUGUCACACAAAUGUAUAAAAAUGGAUGUACCUAAAACUAAAAUACAUCUAGAUACAUUCAUUCCUAUGACGAGUAUUUUUGGACGGAGGAAGUAAUAA
rfam:Hordeum vulgare subsp. vulgare, WGS project CAJW01000000 data, contig: morex_contig_274298